UAACCUGGUUGAUCCUGCCAGUAGUGUAUGCUUCUCCUAAAGACUAAGCCAUGCAUGCCUUCGAAUACGAGGAAGCAAUUCUCUCUGAAUCUGCGAACGGCUCCGCACACCAGUUGUAAACCAAAGCAAGCUAGUCCAUGGUCUGGCCCUCACGGGUUGGGCUGUGGACGAUACGGAUAACCCUGGUAAUUCUGAGGCUAAUACGAGACUGCAAUCCCUGGCUAACCGCAAGGAAGGCUGGGGGGCGUGUAAAGGUUUCGCGAGGAAUAACCGGGAAGGGGUACACGCUCUGACCACGACAAAGACAGUUCCGGCAAAUCCUCGGAUGAGUUGGUUCUGAGUGGCUCUUGCGAGGUGCUUCUGACCUAUCAACUAGAUGGCAGCGUAACGGACAUGCCAUGGUUACAACGGGUACAGAGGAUUAGGGUUCGAUCCUGGAGAGUGGGCCUGAGAGAUUGCUCA
rnacentral:rRNA from 1 species